CCCAGAGUCAUUAUCUCUGCCCUCCGUCGAGUCCCCGCACCUCUGCGCCGGAGCCCGCGGGCCUCUCUCCGGCCGCGCGGUCCCGGGCGCGCCGCGCACCCUUUUCCCCUCGGCCUCCGGGGCCCCCGUGCCUCUCCGGCCGUGCCCCGCCUGCCGCGCGGAGGCGGCUCCUCAGGUGGCAGAGCCGGGGCCUCCCCCAGCAGACCUGUCACCCGACACCCAGGAAGCGCGCGGCCCCAUCCCGGCUCCUCUUUGUUCCCCCGCCGGGCUCCUGCUCGGGCGCCGCCUCCUCCCGCGUAGCGCUGUGGAGGUUCGGGGCGCCGCCCUCGGCCGGGACGUGCCCCGGGCUCCGUCCAUCCGGCCCCCUCCGAACCAGGGCCCUUUUUGUCUUGUUGUUCCCAUGUGGACUCCGCGCGGAGCUGGGAGGCGGCGGUGCGCCCAGCCCGGAGCCGGCGCAGGUGAGUGUCCGGGCGGGGCGGGGCCGAGCCAGAGCCGGCGAGGAGAAGGUGGAGGCGGGCGCCCCGGGGCGAGCAGGGCUAGAACCCGGGUGGGGCGGGCAACCGGCCUUGGGGAUGACGCGGCAGCGCGGCCUCCCGGCUCUCCCGCGCCUUCCGGCGGAGGUGCGCACGCGGCCCCGUGGUCUUGGGGCCCCGAUGGAGUCGGGUUGCGCGCAGGGCUGCGGUUUGGGUGCGGACCGUGUUUGGCCAGGUGUGACAGCUUUCAAAGUGCUGUGUCCUCCGGCAAAGCGCCAUGAAAACCACGUGUGACAGGCAUCCUGCGAAGACCAGCCUUAAUGCAGGAAGAUGAUAGCGGCCACGAGUGGACGGAUAAUCCUGUUGGAUGCUAGUGGCAAAGGCAUGGGUGUGGACUGGGCCUGUCCUGGCACACGGACCUCUGGCGGGGCGCUGUGGACGGCAGGCAGGUGCAAACGGGUGGUGCCAGGUGUUGGGCCCCGAAUGAAGAAUGGCCCUCGGGGAAGGGGGAACCCAUGGGCUUUGAGUGAAGGCAGCACCUGAACUGGGCUUGGAGGAGGAGCAAGCCAGAGCCACCUGACGGCAGGAAGAGUGGAACGUGAGGCCUGGCACGUGCCCCUCAGUCUGUUCAGGCUGAAGGAGGUCAGUGCCAAGGCCUGAUCCUGUUCUGUCCGCGGCCCUCUGCUGCCAGGAUACAGAUGGCCUGUGGUCUGUACAGAACAGUGGUCCUUGUGGGGGGCGAGUUUUGCCCCUCUGGGGGACAUGAGACAUCUGGAGACACUCGAUUGGCCUAACUGGAGGUGGGGGCCGUCCCUGGCCUCCAGGGGUAGAGGUCAGGGAAGCUGCUACAGCCCGCAGUGCCUAGGACACAGGAUGAUAGGCCCCACUGUCAACAGAGCCGAGGCCGAGAAUACCCACCCCCCCCAUAGGAUGAUAGGUUAGAAGCAGUGAGUUGGCAUCUGAAGAGAAGAAGGUUAAAGCCCUACGUUUAGGGAAAAGCCUCAGUUGUACCGGGGUAAGAAGGGAGGAGACCAGACUACCUAAAUGAAGGCAGAAGAAAGACCUGGUGACUUUGGUUGACCACACACUCACCUGGGAUGGCACUGAAGCAGGUCACGGGAGGUGAGCAGGCUGUGUCUGUGCCGUGGUCCGGGUCUGCUACCAUCUUCAGAGGGGCCGCAGCAGACAGCUGGGCCAGACCAGUGACAUUUCGGGUGCCCACAUGCCCUUCUGCGGAUUACAUAAUUGCUCACUGAUACAGUUAAAAGAUGUUUUGCGUGGGGCAGUGGGAAGAAUAAAAGGUAUUUUAGGAAAGCCUGCUGGCUCA
rnacentral:lncRNA from 12 species